rnacentral:rRNA from 1 species
UACGUAUGUCGCAAGCGUUAUCCGGAAUUAUUGGGCGUAAAGCGAGUCUAGGCGGCUUGUUAAGUCAGAUGUGAAAAUGCGGGGCUCAACUCCGUAUUGCGUUUGAAACUGGCAGGCUAGAGUACUGGAGAGGUGGGCGGAACUACAAGUGUAGAGGUGAAAUUCGUAGAUAUUUGUAGAAAUGCCGAUAGUGAAGACAGCUCACUGGACAGAUACUGACGCUAAAGCUCGAAAGCGUGGGGAGCAAACAGG